rnacentral:rRNA from 1 species
AUUGAACGCUGGCGGCAUGCCUUACACAUGCAAGUCGAACGGCAGCACGGGUGCUUGCACCUGGUGGCGAGUGGCGAACGGGUGAGUAAUACAUCGGAACGUACCUUAUCGUGGGGGAUAACGCAGCGAAAGCUGUGCUAAUACCGAAUACGCCCUGAGGGGGAAAGCGGGGGAUCGCAAGACCUCGCGCGAUUAGAGCGGCCGAUGCCCGAUUAGCUUGUUGGUGGGGUAAAAGCCCACCAAGGCGGCGAUCAGUAGCUGGUCUGAGAGGACGAUCAGCCACACUGGGACUGAGACACGGCCCAGACUCCUACGGGAGGCAGCAGUGGGGAAUUUUGGACAAUGGGGGCAACCCUGAUCCAGCAAUGCCGCGUGAGUGAAGAAGGCCUUCGGGUUGUAAAGCUCUUUUGUCAGGGAAGAAACACCGGCUCUAACACAGUCCGGGAAUGACGGUACCUGAAGAAUAAGCACCGGCUAACUACGUGCCAGCCGCCGCCGUAA